GGCAUCGACACCCCGUCUGCGUCGAUGGCGACCGCCUCCGCCGCUACCGGAUCGGAAAGAUACUGCAUCUCCGGCGAGUGACGCCGCCACCAGGUCGUCCCUGUCCUCCAUGGCGGGCGACCAUCACGGGCGACCGCUGCCGCCACCGGAUCGGACAGAUACUGCAUCACCGGCGAAUGACGACGCCACCGUCUCCAUCGCGGGCGACCGCCGCCGCCAGCAGAUCGGGCUUGUCCUGCAUCGCCGGCGAGCUAUGCCGCCACCACGUCGAGGCCGCCGCAACAUCGAGAGACGCUGCCAGCUACAGAGAAAUUUAGAGAGAGAUAUCAGGCGGUCCAGGCCGGAUCACAAUGGACUGACAUAUAUACUGUGGUACAUAUUCUAUCUAUGACGAUGCAUACUAGUAGUAUAUAGCCUGGGAACAUUCAUGGACUUAAACUUUUUAUUGAUUUGGAAUGCUCACACACGACCACGCCAUUGCACAUUAGUAUUCUUCAUGUAUGGAGUAACCGCGUGAUGCUAUUUUCAGAACAAAUGUAUGCGCUAUAGAAAUCAAACCAUGUAUCGUAUUUAACAAGCUUUUCAAACUUGAUGGAAUGUGCUGCUGAAUUAUUGUGCUCAUACUCAUUUGAUGAAGUUGUCAAAAUUAAACCUUUAGCCUUGUGGUAUCUUGAUGACAUGAAUUGCACCUUAAUAUGAUAUUGUUGCUUUUGUAGAUGUUGUCAUGCCUUCAAAUGUUAUCUUGAUGCCAUCAAUUUUCAUGGCUGCUGAAUGUAUGAGAGUGAAACAACAAAUCCAUUUUUACUGAUUGUUGUUUAUGCACAACGCCAUCUUUCUCUGUAAGACAUGAGUUUGUGGUUAGCAAGACCUUCAGAAGUGAGGAAGAAGGAUAUGAGUUAUAUCUAUAUUUUUUCACCAAUAUUAUUUCUGGUAUACUGUACAUAUUAUUUACUGUGUCUCCGUCUUAUCUCUUCAUGCAUAUACCAGGUGGUUUGUGACUUGAGGAAAAAGCUCUGGAUCAAGCCUCACGAAAUCGAUAUUGGCUAUGCAGUCCGUGCCCAAUCUGCAGGUGCUGGUGCCUCGUCUUCCCAAGGUGGUGGCUACCACCGCUAAUGCCUAACGGGAUGAAUAUGCACAAAAGACGCUAGUCAUGUGUCUACUAGACGUCGAGCUUUCUCGUUGACGACUGGAGAAUAGAUAUGUUGGAAUAAUGCUGAUGGUGUUCUAGUUAAACUGACUGUAAUUGGAAGAGUAUUUUGGUUGGUACUUAUUUGCAGUCAACUAGUUUGAAAUAAAAUAUUUUUAUGUGA